rnacentral:rRNA from 1 species
GAUGAACGCUAGCUACAGGCUUAACACAUGCAAGUCGAGGGGAAACGGCAUUGAGUGCUUGCACUGAAUGGACGUCGACCGGCGCACGGGUGAGUAACGCGUAUCCAACCUUCCCAUUACUGUGGGAUAACCUGCCGAAAGGCAGACUAAUACCUCAUAGUCUUCGAUGACGGCAUCAGAUUUGAAGUAAAGAUUUAUCGGUUAUGGAUGGGGAUGCGUCUGAUUAGCUUGUUGGCGGGGUAACGGCCCACCAAGGCAACGAUCAGUAGGGGUUCUGAGAGGAAGGUCCCCCACAUUGGAACUGAGACACGGUCCAAACUCCUACGGGAGGCAGCAGUGAGGAAUAUUGGUCAAUGGACGGAAGUCUGAACCAGCCAAGUAGCGUGCAGGAUGACGGCCCUAUGGGUUGUAAACUGCUUUUGUAUGGGGAUAAAGUCAAUCACGUGUGAUUGUUUGCAGGUACCAUACGAAUAAGGACCGGCUAAUUCCGUGCCAGCAGCCGCGGUAAUACGGAAGGUUCGGGCGUUAUCCGGAUUUAUUGGGUUUAAAGGGAGCGUAGGCCGGAGAUUAAGUGUGUUGUGAAAUGUAGACGCUCAACGUCUGAAUUGCAGCGCAUACUGGUUUCCUUGAGUACGCACAACGUUGGCGGAAUUCGUCGUGUAGCGGUGAAAUGCUUAGAUAUGACGAAGAACUCCGAUUGCGAAGGCAGCUGACGGGAGCGCAACUGACGCUUAAGCUCGAAGGUGCGGGUAUCAAACAGG